rnacentral:rRNA from 1 species
AACGAACGCUGGCGGCAGGCUUAACACAUGCAAGUCGAACGGGUGUAGCAAUACAUCAGUGGCAGACGGGUGAGUAACACGUGGGAACCUUCCUAGGGGUACGGAACAACUCAGGGAAACUUGAGCUAAUACCGUAUACGUCCGUAAGGAGAAAGAUUCAUCGCCCCUAGACGGGCCCGCGUCGGAUUAGGUAGUUGGUGGGGUAACGGCCUACCAAGCCUACGAUCCGUAGCUGAUCUGAGAGGANGAUCAGCCACACUGGGACUGAGACACGGCCCAGACUCCUACGGGAGGCAGCAGUGGGGAAUCUUGGACAAUGGGCGCAAGCCUGAUCCAGCCAUGCCGCGUGAGUGAAGAAGGCCUUAGGGUUGUAAAGCUCUUCUACCAGGGACGAUAAUGACGGUACCUGGAGAAUAAGCCCCGGCAAACUUCGUGCCAGCAGCCGCCGC